UAUUUAGAAGUAGUAUGGGAUCAUCCUUCUGUGGAACCAGCUCCCAGUUUGAAUGCAGGAGACAGAAAAUAUCUCUACUUUUAAGAUUAAGUUUCAAAGCUUCUUUUUUGCUAAUGCCUCCCUUAGUUACCCUGGGACUACCCUGCUGGGGGAUUCCCACCAUGUGUUUAUACACCUCUCUGCAUUCAAUAAUUAGUUCUUGUUAAUCUCUGGCUCUUGUCCACAGUGUGUCUUUUGUCCCGUCUUCCUCUCCUCACCCCCAAUGGGUCGCAGCGGGCCGCCCCUCCCUGACCCUGGUUCUGCCAGAGGGUGCUUCCUGUUAAAAGAAAUAGUCAGGACCCAGAUGAACCUGUGCUGGAAUUCAGUGUGGCAUGCACAGACCUGGUGACUCCUUCUCUGGACCGAAAACCCAACGCCUUUGUAGCAGUGAGGUGCACGACACUGCCGCAGACCUUCUGUACCAAACAUGCCCAGACUGAAGUCAUAGAAGGUUAGGGCCUAUUAUAUGCCGCAGCCUAAAGGCAGCUGAGUUGCAGAGGACGGAGUGAUCACUGGCUAUCUACUUACAGGGUGGUGAGUCUCAGAGGACAACUGCUACCCCUGUUGAAGUGAACAACGUGUGGAGUGCAACUGCUUUGUGGCAUAGCUGGCUCUGGCCUUGGACUGUGUGUUUUUUUUACUUUGUACCUAAACGGGACACUGGACUGUUAACUUUUAUUCAUUGUGUUUAUAAAUUACCUCUCAGAAUUUUAUUGACUGUCAUCUUUUUGCCCACGGCGGAGACGGUUGGUCAGACCUAGAAUCUCUUUGUGUGUGUGUGUGUGUGUGUGUAACAUCAGCACUUUUUGAAGGGUUUUGCAUAAGAGUGUGAGCAGGUCAAAAGGUCAAUUCAUUUAUUAUAGUUUUAUGGCAGCACCCUCUAGUGGCCUUGAAGCAAACAGUCUCCCAACUAAGCCAUGACAUCUCCGGUCUCUCCUACUUUUGUGUGCUCUGCUGGAGGAGCAGCAAUGGAUCUAGUGAUACUGAGUAAGCGGAUUAGGACAGGCCUGGGGAAAUGUGGUUUGCAUGAAGUAUCAGAGGGAAAAAAAACAACCUUGUACGGCUCAUACUUUUUAUUAACAAAAAUAAUAAUACACUAAUAAUGAAUACUUUUCAUGACGUUCAGAUUUCUGGACUCAUGAGUUCAUAGAACAUUAAUGUUAUGGAACUUUGAGAUAAGUCUUAAAACUACAUUGUAUACUUAUUAUUUAUUUACUUUAAUCAGAUUUGACUGGUAUUUUUAAACAUUCAUAUUUUUUUUUUUUUUUUUGUUCCUUCAACUAUUGUAUUUAAACUUAUGACUCACUCACAGUAUGUUUAUAGAACUGCCCAAAUAAACGGUGAGGAUGUGGCCACAGUGGCUGAGAAGCAAGAAAUUUGCUGGGUUUUUUUUUGUUUUGUUUUUGUUUUUUUUCAUUGUGAAGCAUAAAUGAACAUACCACAGAAACCUGCACGAAGAAGCCAUAUUUGUUUUUUGUGGGUGCACAAGAUGAAGCUUUAGUAUUAUUACACAUAUAAUGAUGUUAGCAUGCAACACACAAACUCAG